GUUCAACCCCCUCCCGUACUA
rnacentral:tRNA from 1 species